UACGUAGGUGACAAGCGUUGUCCGGAUUUACUGGGCGUAAAGAGCGCGCAGGCGGUCGUUCAAGUCGAGUGUGAAAGCCCCCGGCUCAACUGGGGAGGGUCACUCGAUACUGAUCGACUCGAAGGCAGGAGAGGGAAGUGGAAUUCCCGGUGUAGUGGUGAAAUGCGUAGAUAUCGGGAGGAACACCAGUGGCGAAGGCAGCACUCUGGGACGGUACUGACGCUGAGACGCGAAAGCGUGGGGAGCAAACAGG
rnacentral:rRNA from 1 species